rnacentral:rRNA from 1 species
CCUACGGGUGGCAGCAGUGAGGAAUAUUGUUCAAUGGACGAGAGUCUUAACCAGCCAAGUAGCGUGAAGGAUGACUGCCCUAUGUUUUGUAACCUUCUUUUAUCAAGGAAUAAAACUAGGCACGUGUUCCUGUAUGCAUGUACUUUAUGAAUAAGCAUCGGCUACCUCCGUGCCAGCAGCCGCGGUAAUACGGAGGAUUCGAGCGUUAUCCGGCUUUAUUGGGUUUAAAGGGUGCUUAGGUGGGUUGUUAAGUUAGUUGUGAAAGUUUGUGGCUCAACCGUAAAAUUGCACUUGAUACUGGCAGUCUUGAGUACAGUUGAGGUAUGCGGAAUGCGGGGUGUAGCGGUGAAAUGCAUAGAUAUCACGCAGAACCCCGAUUGCGAAGGCAGCAUACCGGUGCAAAACUGACGCUGAGGCACGAAAGCGUGGGUAUCGAACAGGAUUAGAUACCCCGGUAGUC